rnacentral:rRNA from 1 species
UACGAAGGGGGCUAGCGUUGUUCGGAAUUACUGGGCGUAAAGCGCACGUAGGCGGAUCGAUCAGUCAGGGGUGAAAUCCCAGAGCUCAACUCUGGAACUGCCUUUUGAUACUGUCGAUCUAGAGUAUGGAAGAGGUGAGUGGAAUUCCGAGUGUAGAGGUGAAAUUCGUAGAUAUUCGGAGGAACACCAGUGGCGAAGGCGGCUCACUGGUCCAUUACUGAACGCUGAGGUGCGAAAAGCGUGGGGGAGCAAACAGG